rnacentral:lncRNA from 1 species
AGACCUUUCGGAGUGGUUGAUUAUCACAUCAUGCUGCAUAAGAAGUCAUGCAAUAAUGAAAAUAGCAUGCAUGUUGGACCACUUACUGAAUAUUUGGCGCACAAAAUAUAUGAGAUUGCAUCAGAUGCUAUAAACCUUGAAAUCUUGAAAAACUUAGCCGAGGGCUAGUUCCUCCAUUAUGAAAAAUUCUUGUCCAACCAAAGGUGUGGCAAGGAGGCGACAGCAUGAAUACGUGUAGGCAUCAUAUAUGCAUUCAGCUCGUGAGUUAACCACAC